GAGGGCAUAGCUCAGUGGCAGAGUGCAUGCCUAGCAUGUGCAAGGUCCUGGGUUUGAUCCCCAGUACCUCCA
rnacentral:tRNA from 1 species